AGCUAGGGUGGCGCAUGCGAAUCGAGCAUGUAUUGAUUGCUGAAGGCUCGACUUCCGGGAUGUUAGAAGACCGAAGUGAUCUUGCGGUGAUCCCAAGAAAAGAACGUGUUUGUUAUAUGCAAACAAGCAUUACGAGUUCGCUGAUGUUGUUUGAAAUGCCAUUCCAAAAUGGCAAUGAAAAUAAAUUAAAAUGGAAGCAAGAAGGAAGUAUUCAAAUUCUAAGUUUAAGGUUAGUUUUAAUUUCAGAAUGAAAUUUGUUAUCUAUUCUUGUUUUAAGGGGGUGUUUUAUGGUUUUAAUCGUUUUAACUAUUAUAACUUGAGUUUUAUCUACUAUGAAAUACUGACGAUGGACCAUCAAAGUUGGAUUUUAGCACAUCAUUGAAUUAAAAAAGUUCAUAAAUUCUUUUGAAUCGGAUUAACCUAUAGAAUUCUUGGGAAUAUGGAUUUAAGUGCUAAAGUGUGAACUGCAAGUAUUCCUAAUUGCUAAAAUGGUUAAGAUCGCAAAAAUUAUGAAAUAGAAAGUACCAUAAUAGGGACGAACAUACACAUCCGGCAGUAAUAAUGGAGGAAAGAUUAUGCGAUGGAUAUAUUCAAAGUAAAUAUUCCCAUCUCAUUCAAGUAGGAGUAGGAAAACCCGUGAGGAGAUGGACGGCGGGGAAGAACACAGUAAUUGAGGAGACGAAAAUCAAACGACAUCUCUAAUAUGAAGUAUUGUCUUUUGCUUUUGAGUUUCAACAAUAAAAUGGCGUGGACAAAAGAGACUUAGACUGCUAAGGAAGAAGAAUUGAUAGAGGGCGCAUGAAACGGAAUACAUCCAUAAAUACAUGUAUAUAAUAUACUAUAUUAUAUGCGGCGUCCAAAAUAUAAUUCUCAACUUAUUUUCAGAAAAUGUCGUCUUGAGUUGUUGUAGUUUGUAACAAUUUCGGAUUAAUUUAUUUAGCGUAUGGCAUAUAAGACACACAAUACGAUAGUAGGUAAGUUACAAAAAAUGAAUAGAAUGACAGUCAUUAAAGAGUACAACCUACGUUUUGGUUGUUAUUGGUAAAUUUUACAUCCAAUUCGGCUAGCCAUUAAAAGUUUUUGCAAGGUUUAGCAUCAAAGAGGCUCCCACAGCGUUAGGAUAAGAUUCAAUAGGGCAGCACCCCACAAUUUGCUGAAUACAUUAUUUUGAAGCUUCGCAGUCACACUGAGGCGAUGGCAGCACUCUCCAUUUGUUGAGGCUAUCGCUACAGAUUCCAAGUACCGUACAUACUCUGUUCAGGUCCUUCCAAAGCUGAGAAAAUCGAAAUCCUUUUAAUUUUUGGUUGAGGAGGAUCUCUUGGUUUAUUCUUGGUGAUGCUUUGGCGUUCCAGUCUUUUCCCCACUCAGAAUUGAUGUUGUACUUGUUUUUAACCAGUUCCUCAGCAAGAUUAAUAUAAUGGAGGUUGUCUAUGGCCAUUAAUAUGGAAAUAAGGUGAGCAUUUUUUUUUUCGAAGGUUUCUGGGGCAAUAUAGCAAUUUUGGAAACUGUUUCUGUCGAAUUAUUAUUUAGUUAAGUCUAUUAGUCUAUCAACCUCAAAAUCCAGCGCACAUCUGACCUUCUAACUUCAUUGUAUGUGCCGCGUAAAAUGGCUACUUGGCCUUAAGAUUGCACUCCACGUACAUGUAACAUAGUCUGGUACAGGUGAUGCAAAACCUUAACCGAUUUUAACACAGGGUCUUGUGGGGAGCAACCUUUGGUGAUCCCAAAAGGAUUCCUGGCAAAUACUUAUCAAUGCUACGUUGGGUACGUAUAUAAUGUUUGCAUAGGUUUGUAUUAAACUGUAAUACUUUGCUGUGAUAUAUUGGUGCAUAUUGGUGACAAGAGAAAUAGCUGAAAAUUGUUUUGAAGUUCGUAAGUCGACCGCUAAGCGGCGUAACUGUCAUAGAGAAACAUAAAAUUUCCGCUAUCUCAGAAAGGUAGAUGUUGGGCUAUAAAUUUGGCAUUAUUUGACAGCUUAGAUAGUACCGCAUAGUUUUGUUUCGUGACAUAUCUCAUAUUUAUCAUAAUAAGGGAGGGGGAGGUCAAUGCGCGUUUAAAUGUUUACAUUUUAAUAUCUUCUGGACCAUUUGAUAAUUCUUCAUGAUACACAAUGAUACAAAAAUGUUGUAUGAAAUAAAACAUUUCAUAUCUGUAUAAUAUAAUAAUAUUAAAUAACAAAAGAUAAACAAUUAUAGAUAAGAAAAAUUUAUUUUCUAAACGCUUACACUAGUGCUGUCACCGGACCCCCUCCCAACCGAUGCAAAACACUUCUCAUAUUUCUUUUUAAAUGAUUGUAAGUUGUAAUCUGUGUAGCAAAUAGAAAGGUUAUUAAAAAUCGAACCAACCAUAUAAUAAAAGCAAUGUUUCAACGCUUGCAUACUAUGUUUUGGAAUGGAAAUCUAAUGUUUCUACGCAUUGAUGAUUUCAUAUAGGUAAGAUGGCCUGCAGUUAGUGAUAAUAAAAAUUAUUCGAUAAGGAAUAUGAAGUCUACGACUUUCUACCAUAUUUAAGCAAUUUUCAUUGGCCCAUUUAUUACGACGCAUACAAUAAAUAAAUCUGAGACAAGAUUCUUGAAUCCUUGUUAUUCUCUCCGCAUUCUUCAUCAUCAAACAAGGCUCAUAAAUAAGAUUAUAAAGGAAAAGUAGUUUCAAUAGUAUUUUUUAAGUGUAUUUUAUAAUUCACUAGCAUCUAACUGAAAGUUGUAUGGAGAAGAAGCAAUAAAAAAUUUAUUAAUUUCAUUACAA
rnacentral:lncRNA from 1 species